GAAACCGGAGCUAAUACCGGAUAGUUCCUGAACCGCAUGGUUCAAUUAUGAAAGACCGUUUCGGCUGUCACUUACAGAUGGACCCGCGGCGCAUUAGCUAGUUGGUGGGGUAAUGGCUCACCAAGGCGACGAUGCGUAGCCGACCUGAGAGGGUGAUCGGCCACACUGGGAAUGAGACACGGCCCAGACUCUCUACGGGAGGCAGCAGUAGGGAAUCUUCCGCAAUGGACGAAAGUCUGAAGGAGCAACGCCGCGUGAGUGAUGAAGGUCUUCGGAUCGUAAAGCUCUGUUGUUAGGGAAGAACAAGUGCGAGAGUAACUGCUCGCACCUUGACGGUACCUAACCAGAAAGCCACGGCUAAAUUCGUGCCAGCAGCCGCGGUAAUACGUAGGUGGCCAGCGUUGUCUGGAAUUAUUGGGCGUAAAGGGCUCGCCGGCGGUUUCUUAAGUUUGAUGUGAAAGCCCCCGGCUCAACCGGGGAGGGUCAUUGGAAACUGGGAAACUUGAGUGCAGAAGAGGAGAGUGGAAUUCCACGUGUAGCGGUGAAAUGCGUAGAGAUGUGGAGGAACACCAGUGGCGAAGGCGACUCUCUGGUCUGUAACUGACGCUGAGGAGCGAAAGCGUGGGGAGCGAACAGGAUUAGAUACCCUGGUAGUCCACGCCGUAAACGAUGAGUGAUAAGUGUUAGGGGGUUUCCGCCCCUUAGUGCUGCAGCUAACGCAUUAAGCACUCCGCCUGGGGAGUACGGUCGCAAGACUGAAACUCAAAGGAAUUGACGGGGGCCCGCACAAGCGGUGGAGCAUGUGGUUUAAUUCGAAGCAACGCGAAGAACCUUACCAGGUCUUGACAUCCUCUGACAACCCUAGAGAUAGGGCUUUCCCUUCGGGGACAGAGUGACAGGUGGUGCA
rnacentral:rRNA from 1 species